CCUCAGCGCGACCCUGGAGCUGGGGGUGUUUUUAAGUUUGGGGCGAGGCCGGUGAAGCCGAGGCGCGGGCGGCAAGGAGCGCUGGAGAGCGACGGGGCUCGGCCUCCGCGGCUGCCCAGGGGCCCGGGGCAUUCCGAGAAGAGAAAAAAAGCUUGUACUUAAAUACUUCCUGCGAAGUUUUGACUGAGACGCUGCAACAAUUCCCGAGCUGUUUCAUCGUGGCACCUUCCUGGUGGCAGGUGGAUUAGCACAUUGUCUGCAACCCAGGAGGACUUGGAGGAAAGUCCCAGCUCUGCUGAUUCUAGCUGAGUAACCUUGGCAAAGGUCACCUCACUUCUCUCUGAGUCUUAUUUUCUCAUCUGUAAAAUGAGGAGGAGGAGGAGGAUCAUCCAAACAUCACGGGACUUCGUUAAAUCAGUGCUUCGGGGCACUUAGCACAGCGCCUGGCGCAAGGUAAGCACUUGAUAAAUGGGAGUUCGUGUUAUUUCAACAUACUUUGAACACUCAUCCCACUGUUUGAUGAUUAUUUGUAUGUCUGGCUUUUCUGCUAGAUGGUGAGCAAAACAAGCAUCAUUCUUCAUUCUUGUUUUGUUUCUAACUCUCUAAAUCAUCUUUAUUCUCGUGUAACUUACAUACAAUACAGUAUAACCAUUUACAAUGUAUGGUUCAGUAGUCCAAUAAGUGUAUAGACCCAUGUAACCACAAUCCCAGUUAAGAUUUAGAACACUGUUGUCACCUCAAAAGCACCUUCUUAGGCGGGUGCGGUGGCUCAUGCCUGUAAUCCCAGCACUUUGGGAGGCUGAGGCCGGUGGAUCACCUGAGGUCAGGAGUUUGAGACCAGCCUGGCCAACGUGGCGAAACCCCGUCUCUACUAAAAAUACAAAAAAUUAGCUGGGCGUGGUGGUGGGCAUCUGUAAUCCCAGCUACUCAGGAGGCUGAGGCAGGAGAAUCACUUGAACCUGGGAGGCGAGGUUGCAAUGAGCCGAGAUCGCACCAUUGCACUCCAGCCUAGGUGAUGAGAGCAAAACUCCAUCUCAAAAAAAAAAAAAGAACCUUCUAGGCUGGGCACGGUGGCUCACACCUGUAAUCCCACCACUUUGGGAGGCCGAGGCGGGUGGAUCACUUGAGGUCAGGAGUUCAAGACCAGCCUGGCCAAUAUGAUGAAACCCCGUCUCUACUAAAAAUACAAACAUCAGCUGGGCGUGGUAGUGUAAGCUGGUAGUCCCUACUACUCAGGAGGCUGAGGCAGGAGAAUUGCUUGAACUCAGGAGGUGGAGGUUGCAGUGAGCCAAGAUCAUGCCACUGCACUCCAGCCUGGGUGACAAAGUGAGACUCCAUCUCAAAAAAAAGAAAAAAAAACAAACAAAAAAACAAAAACCUUCUUACCCUUGCAGUCAACCCCCACAAUAUCUAACCCCGGCCCCAGUCAACCACUGAUGCCUUCUGUCACUAUCAGUCGGUUCUGCCUGUUCUAGAAUUCCGUGUACAUGUCAUCAUCACACAGUAGGGGCUCUUUUGUGUCUGGCUUCUCUCAAUUUACCCAUGUCGUCGGCAUCAGCAGUUCAUUUCCUUUUCAUUGCUGAGUAUUAUUCUAUCUUUAUAUAUCUCAGUGUGUUUAUCUGUUCCCACGUCGAGGAAUAUUUGGGUUGUUUCCAGUUUGGAGCUGUUAGUAAUAAAGCUGCCAUGAACAUCU
rnacentral:lncRNA from 1 species